rnacentral:misc_RNA from 1 species
CUUGGUCAUGAGGAAGUAAAAGUCGUAACAAGGUUUCCGUAGGUGAACCUGCGGAAGGAUCAUUAAAAACACAGUAGCAAAAUCCUCUUCCCACCUGUGCACUUAUUGAAAGGACAAACUUUUUCUCGAUGACCUUAUUCUCGUAAUAGGGUCAGAAGUAGAAAAAUCUCCAUUGCCUAUUAUUUUGACUGAACUUUAUUAUAAAAUUAAAUACAACUUUCAACAACGGAUCUCUUGGCUCUC